rnacentral:rRNA from 1 species
CCUACGGGAGGCAGCAGUAGGGAAUUUUCGUCAAUGGGCGCAAGCCUGAACGAGCAAUGCCGCGUGAACGAGGAAGGUCUUCGGAUCGUAAAGUUCUGUUGAAGGUGAAAAAGAGCGGAGAGAGGAAAUGAUCUCUGAUUGAUAUUACCCUUCGAGGAAGUCACGGCUAACUACGUGCCAGCAGCCGCGGUAAUACGUAGGUGGCGAGCGUUAUCCGGAAUGAUUGGGCGUAAAGGUUUCGUAGGCGGCCUGGUAAGUCUGGAGUGAAAGGUACCGGCUGAACCGGUACAGGCUUUGGAAACUGGCGGGAUAGAGAGCAGGAGAGGGCGGUGGAACUCCAUGGGUAGCGGUAAAAUGCGUAGAUAUAUGGAAGAACACCAGUGGCGAAGGCGGCCGCCUGGCCUGUUGACUGACGCUGAGGCACGAAAGCGUGGGGAGCAAAUAGGAUUAGAUACCCCUGUAGUC